AAAAAAAAGAAAAAGAAGGAAGGAACAGAAGCAUAAACCAGACUCCGGGACAGAAGCUCGAGGAAUGUCAGAUUUUCAACAAAAAGUAGCACAAAUCA